GUCGAGGUACGGCGUGCGGAAACGCAGCCGCUUCGACGGCGCCGGGCCGCCCGGACGCGCGGCGGUGCCGCCGAUCUCGUCGGUUGCCUCGACG
rnacentral:tRNA from 1 species